rnacentral:rRNA from 1 species
AUGGGAGAUGUGCUGAGGGCUCACGACGUCGCAACCACCGCCGCCGGUGACGAGGCUGGCGUUUGGCCCGGCGAGCUCGACGAGCAGCUCAUACGGGAGCUCCUCAGCGAUGACAGCCUCCUCGGCUCCAUGGCCCCGCCCGACGACUCGGAGCGCCACCGCUCGUGCGACACGGGAGGCGCCCCAGCCGCCGCGCCGUGCAACAGCGGCGGCAGCAUCGCUGCCGUGCACGAGCCGUUGCCGCAGGCUUCGGCGUCGAGCAUGGCUCUGUGCUCGUCGUACUCCGGCCCUACGAUCAGGGACAUCGAGAAGGCGCUGUGGUCUCGGCCGUACACCUCCAGCCAGCGCUACGGCUCGCUGUAUUUCCGCAGGUACGGAGCGCCGGGCACGGCGCCGGAGAGCAGGCACACGACCAAGGUGAGGAGCUGCGGCGGCGGCAAGACGCCGAUGGACGGGUACAGGUGGAGGAAGUACGGGCAGAAGUUCAUCAAGAACAACCCUCAUCCCAGGAGCUACUACAAGUGCACCAGCGCACGGUGCAGCGCCAAGAAGCACGUCGAGAAGUCCACGGACGACCCGGAGAUGCUCGUCGUCACCUACGAGGGGUCGCACCUCCACGGCCCGCAGACGACGACACUCCGGCGCGUCCAGCCCCCGGACGCCGCCGCGGACCUACCCGGCGCGGCGGGCGACGCCGUCGCCGGCGCGGGGAUCGGCUGCAGCGUACGGCCAACAUAUGGAACAUCGUCCGGCGACGAUGCGCGACGAGAAGGCAACGAGCCGCUGCAGGGGCGUCACGAGGGACGACGCGCCCAUGGCGCCGUGCAGCGUGUGACGCCGACGGACUCCUUGGCCUCUUCCCUGCCGCAUUCUGCUGCUGCCGUUGACGCAACUGUGCUUUCUUCUUCUAGUCUGGACUCACCAUGGUCCCUGGAAGCUCUACUUCCCGUGGAGAGGAUCUGA